rnacentral:rRNA from 1 species
GACGAACGCUGGCGGCGUGCUUAACACAUGCAAGUCGAACGGAAAGGCCCUGCUUUUGUGGGGUGCUCGAGUGGCGAACGGGUGAGUAACACGUGAGUAACCUGCCCUUGACUUUUGGAUAACUUCAGGAAACUGGGGCUAAUACCGGAUAGGAGCUCCUGCUGCAUGGUGUGGGUUGGAAAGUUUCGGCGGUUGGGGAUGGACUCGCGGCUUAUCAGCUUGUUGGUGGGGUAGUGGCUUACCCAGGCUUUGACGGGUAGCCGGCCUGAGAGGGUGACCGGCCACAUUGGGACUGAGAUACGGCCCAGACUCCUACGGGAGGCAGCAGUGGGGAAUAUUGCACAAUGGGCGGAAGCCUGAUGCAGCAACGCCGCGUGCGGGAUGACGGCCUUCGGGUUGUAAACCGCUUUCGCCUGUGACGAAGCGUGAGUGACGGUAAUGGGUAAAGAAGCACCGGCUAACUACGUG